GCUUGCACUAGACUCAUGAGUUGCGAACGGGUGAGUAACGCGUAGGUAACCUGCCUCAUAGCGGGGGAUAACUAUUGGAAACGAUAGCUAAUACCGCAUAACAGUAUUUACUGCAUGGUAGAUACUUGAAAGGAGCAAUUGCUUCACUAUGAGAUGGACCUGCGUUGUAUUAGCUAGUUGGUGGGGUAACGGCUCACCAAGGCAUCGAUACAUAGCCGACCUGAGAGGGUGAUCGGCCACACUGGGACUGAGACACGGCCCAGACUCCUACGGGAGGCAGCAGUAGGGAAUCUUCGGCAAUGGGGGCAACCCUGACCGAGCAACGCCC
rnacentral:rRNA from 1 species